CCAGAUGUGGAAGCCCUGUGAGGGGUGGAGCUGACUGGUACUAAUAGGCCGAGGGCUUGUCCUCAGUUG
rnacentral:rRNA from 1 species